AAAUGUCCAGACAACUCCACAGCGCGCAUUUCUCUCCAGCAGCGGGAAGAUUCAGAGACCUCGAGACUGAACACCCAAAUCUCGCUUUCCAGGACCCGAAGUACCGAACAAUAGGUCCCAAGGUAAUUGUACAUUUUUUCAUCCUACAUCUCAAGAGACCAAGGGACCUAAGUAAAUUGAUCUACUUGCCAAUGACUGUAAGAAAGACAAAGAAGUUGUAAAAACAUCCAAAUGAUGUUAAACAUAAAUUAGCUCAGAAUAGUUUGCAGAAGAUAAACUACCAGCGUCAAAGCAUGCAUUAAAAACUGGUAAGUUCCCCUCUCCCAUUAAACCGUGCUUAA
rnacentral:lncRNA from 1 species